AUUCGUGCAGUGCUUUCUCCUCUCAGGUAAAAGGGAAGCCCUCCUGCCAAACAAGCCUCCCUCCUGCUUGGCUGCUCUUCCUCCUCUCAAAUGACAAAACCUCAGAAGAAACAGUAGAUAGAGGCAGUUUCAGACCCACCCAGCACACAACAACUGUGGAGUUGUGAAUGAAAUGUGUUCUUGUUUAUUCUGUCUUCUUAGCGCGUGAUCUCUGGGGGAAGACAAAUCUCGACGGAAGAAGCUCCGAAACUUUUCUUUCUCCCGCGCUCCUUGUGACUCGUUGAGACAGAAAACUAGGGUUCGAGAUGUUUACUGCAACUCGAACUCAUGCUUGUGCUGACCAUGGCGUCGUCGUCAUCUCCUGGUCCUCUUCUGCUGCUCUUCACUUUGGAGAGCAGCAGCUCCCAGAAAGAUGGGUUGUGCCACAAAGGUUCAGAGAUGAUGGCCGUACAUGCUUUAAGGAUUUUGUGUUCCAGCAACAUGCAUGAAACAAUUUGAUAGCCAUUUUAGUUCUGUUGGAAUAUGUGAGCCAGUUACUGCAUGAUGUUUGGUGUAGGGAAUGAAGCCAUUGGUCCGCUUAGCAUUUAAAUAUUUGUAUCAUCCUCGACAAUUCCAGUAAUGGAUUUAGCUAUUUUGAAAUUCAUUUGAUCUUUACUGCAGUGAAUCAACUUUAUUUUUGUUCUCCUGUCUGUUUCCUUAUACCUGUAUGUACUAAUAUACUUGUAAUAUUCUGUGUAUAACAUCAUGAACCUAGUUAAAAUCACCUCUUUUUUUAACAA